UGUGUAUGUUGGCUAUUAUAGGUUCAGAUUCGCUAUUUGGAGUAGGAUGCACUUAAAUAGAAUCUAUCGAUCUUAGUAGAAAAGAAGUCUUAUGUGAUUCACAAAACUGAGUUCAGAAAAUCUCUGGCUAGAGUAAGAGUGAAUACUGAAAAAGAGUUUGCACGGAAUUCACAAAUGAACUUGAGUCGAGCCAAUCUAGUAUAUGAC
rnacentral:lncRNA from 1 species